GACAUGUUGCUUUUAUUGUUUUGUAGCUUGUAAAGUUUGUAAUCCAUUGCAGUUCAUUCAUUAAAGCCUGCAGGUGGAUACAAAAAAGUAAAAAUAACAACCAAAAACAAACUACAAUGGAGCUGUGUUAUUACUGUGGACACCUUGCUCUGCUGUUGGAUCUCCAUUCCUCCAACGCCAUGAUCAGCAAGAAUAUUGCUGAAAAAUCAUCCUUCCUGCUUUGGAUUACUGGCAUUGGGACAGUCACCAGCAAGGCUCCAGCAGUGCCCCAGAGACUGGAAACGAACGACAGCAUGAUGGCCGAGACCAUGAUGAAACGGAUGAACAAGUAAACAGCGUAUCCGUCCUGCGAGCUCAUCAGGGACCUGCAACAAAAGUGUAGUUAGUGCUCCGAAGGAGCAACGUGUUUGUUUGUGUUUGUUUAUUUUGUGUUUGUGAAUUAUUAAAAAUAGCGCGUCAGCGCUGGAAAAAAUCAAGUUCCGUUUGAAAGGGACAACGAACUGUUAGUGAGUUUAAGUCAUUUACAAUAUAUAUAAAACAAAUGAAUGCCCUUACCCGUCACACUCGAUUUCCAAGUUUUGUGCUACAAAGCUCAUCUCUUCAAUGUUACAAUUGACU